rnacentral:rRNA from 1 species
ACGAACGCUGGCGGCGUGCCUCGUACAUGCAAGUAGAACGCACAGUUUAUACCGUAGCUUGCUACACCAUAGACUGUGAGUUGCGAACGGGUGAGUAACGCGUAGGUAACCUGCCUGGUAGCGGGGGAUAACUAUUGGAAACGAUAGCUAAUACCGCAUAAUAUUAAUUAUUGCAUGAUAAUUAAUUGAAAGGUGCAAUUGCACCACUACCAGAUGGACCUGCGUUGUAUUAGCUAGUAGGUGAGGUAACGGCUCACCUAGGCGACGAUACAUAGCCGACCUGGGAGGGUGAUCGGCCACACUGGGACUGGGACACGGCCCAGACUCCUACGGGGGGCAGCAGUAGGGAAUCUUCGGCAAUGGACGAAAGUCUGACCGAGCAACGCCGCGUGAGUGAAGAAGGUUUUCGGAUCGUAAAGCUCUGUUGUAAGAGAAGAACGGGUGUGAGAGUGGAAAGUUCACACUGUGACGGUAUCUUACCAGAAAGGGACGGCUAACUACGUG